rnacentral:rRNA from 1 species
UACGUAGGGUGCAAGCGUUGUCCGGAAUUAUUGGGCGUAAAGAGCUCGUAGGCGGUCUGUCGCGUCUGCUGUGAAAAUCCAGGGCUCAACCCUGGACCUGCAGUGGGUACGGGCAGACUAGAGUGCGGUAGGGGAGAUCGGAAUUCCUGGUGUAGCGGUGAAAUGCGCAGAUAUCAUGAGGAACACCGGUGGCGAAGGCGGAUCUCUGGGCCGUAACCGACGCUGAGGAGCGAAAGCAUGGGGAGCGAACAGG